AUGAAUAGAUCCUGGAAUAUUUUAAACUGGAAUGUGAGAGGUAUAAACUCCAGUGAUAAGUGGCUUGCAAUUUCUAAUAAAAUUGAAGAAUCACAGUGCUCAGUUAUCUGUCUGCAAGAAACCAAAAGAGAAGUUUUUGACAUCUCUUAUUUAAGAAAAUUUGCCCCAAAAAGAAUCAAUAAAUUUGAGUUCUCACCCUCUAUAGGGGCUUCUGGGGGUCUGCUUGUGGCUUGGAGUGAUGCUAUGUUUCAAGGAGAAUGUCUGUUUAAAAAUGAUUUCUCUCUUUCAAUGAGGUUUAUUUCAGUGCACACAGGAGAAUCAUGGAUCCUAACUAAUAUUUAUGGUCCCUGUGAUGAGGAAGGGAGACAUUUAUUUCUGGACUGGUUCAAAAACAUUCAGAUGCCUGUGGAAACAAACUGGCUGAUUUCUGGGGAUUUUAAUUAUAUUAGAUAUCCUUCCAAUAGAAAUGAUGGUGCUGGGAAUAUAAACAAUAUGAUGGAUUUCAAUGCUGCAAUCAGUCAAUUAGCUUUGGUAGAAAUUCCUUUGAAGGAAAGAAGUUUUACUUGGAGUAACAUGCAGCAAGCACCUUUGUUAGAAAAAAUUGAUUGGGUAUUCACAUCUGAAAACUGGUCCUCUCAAUACCCAAAUACCUUGUCCUUUCCCUUGGCCAAGCCUAUUUCUGAUCAUUGCCCAUUUGUGAUCCAAAUUGGUACUUCUAUCCCCAAAGCAAAAGUAUUCAGGUUUGAGAACUUUUGGCUUCAACUUCCAGAUUUCCAAGAAGUAGUAAAGUCCAGCUGGCACCAACCCAUUCAAGCCACUAAUUCUGCCAAACUCAUCACUGCAAAGUUUAAAAGGCUUAGGAAAAGUCUAAAGUUUUGGAGUAAGGGCAUUUCCAACCUUGCACUCAGCAUUCAGGCCACAAAUAGUGUAAUCUUGAUGUGGGAUUAUUUUGAGGAGUUUAGAAUACUAUCAGAUAUGGAACAAAAUGGCAGAGAAAUCUUGAAAGAGCAUCUCUUGAGGUUGUUGUCUUUUCAAAGCAUUUACUGGAGACAGAGAGCAACAAUUAGAUGGGUAAAGUUUGGAGAUGAGAAUUCAAAAUUCUUUCAGGCUAAAGCUACCAUCAAAUACAGGCAUAACUUCAUUCAAACUCUUAUGAAUGAUCAGGGGGUAGAAGUAACAGAGCAUCAUGCUAAGGCUGCAGUUCUUUGGUCAGCUUUCAAAGAAAGAUUGGGUAAUUCAAGUGAGAUGUCUGACCAUCUUAAUCUAAUCUUUCCCUACUAA
rnacentral:rRNA from 1 species